rnacentral:rRNA from 1 species
GACGAACGCUGGCGGCGUGCUUAACACAUGCAAGUCGAACGGAAAGGCUCCUUUGGGGGUACUCGAGUGGCGAACGGGUGAGUAACACAUGAUUAACCUGCCCUCUAUUUCGGGAUAACGCCAGGAAACUGGGGCUAAUACCGGAUAGGAAUCCUUGCUGCAUGGUGGGGGUUGGAAAGCUUCGGCGGGUUUGGAUGUACUCGCGGCUUAUCAGCUUGUUGGUGGGGUAGUGGAUUACCAAGGCUUUGACGGGUAGCCGGUCUGAGAGGGCGACGGGCCACAUUGGGACUGCGAGCAGGCCCAGACUCCUACGGGUGGCAGUGGAGGUGAAUAUUGCGCAAGGGGCGGAAGCAUGAUGCAGCAACGCCGCGUGAGGGAUGACCGGCUCAUGGUUGUGAUCCGCUUUCAGCAGGGGCGGAGCUUGUGGUGACGGUACAUGCAGAAGAAGAACCGGCGAACUACGUG